AGUGAACGCUGGCGGUAGGCCUAACACAUGCAAGUCGAACGGCAGCGCAGUAAGAGCUUGCUCUUACGGGUGGCGAGUGGCGGACGGGUGAGGAAUACAUCGGAAUCUACUUUUUCGUGGGGGAUAACGUAGGGAAACUUACGCUAAUACCGCAUACGACCUACGGGUGAAAGCAGGGGAUCUUCGGACCUUGCGCGAUUGAAUGAGCCGAUGUCGGAUUAGCUAGUUGGCGGGGUAAAGGCCCACCAAGGCGACGAUCCGUAGCUGGUCUGAGAGGAUGAUCAGCCACACUGGAACUGAGACACGGUCCAGACUCCUACGGGAGGCAGCAGUGGGGAAUAUUGGACAAUGGGCGCAAGCCUGAUCCAGCCGUACCGCGUGGGUGAAGAAGGCCUUCGGGUUGUAAAGCCCUUUUGUUGGGAAAGAAAAGCAGCAGGUUAAUACCCCGCUGUUCUGACGGUACCCAAAGAAUAAGCACCGGCUAACUUCGUG
rnacentral:rRNA from 1 species